GCCCUCUGCAGCCUCGUCACGUGUCUGCCUCCUCCUAACCUCGCCACCAAGUCUCCGUCGUCCAUGUUGGGCCUGUCCACCGCCCCGCCUUGAGGCCGCAGUCGCUAGGUACGCCAAGUGGCCUCGUCCCCCUUUCCUCUCUCUCUUCUUCUCUGACGGUCUGACCCCGCGUUAGUUCGACCAAGAAUGGUCGAGCGGAGAGGCUGGGGAGUGGUGUCGUCGUCGCCAGCACAUGUGGGUGAGUGGCCUGGUCGCCGGGGCAAGGCGGGCGGGAAGACGAAAACCCCAACGUUGCUGCCUGCCUGCAAAGGCGCAGAAACCCAUUUGAUUAUGUUCGCCAGUGGUGCCCACGACGGAGGGGAUGGCAAGCUCCGUCUCCUUCCUGCUGUUGAAGCCGGCGGAGCUACGGAGGGGAUAGCAAGCUCCUUCUCCCUUCCUGCUGUUGAAGCCGGCGGAGCUUGUGGAGGCGCUGCACAACUACGACACGACACCUAGCUCUAGCCUCCGCACCGAGGACAUCGUCAACCUGUAGCCCACCUUCGUCGUCGAGGUCCUCACCCUCGACAUUGGCAGUCAGCCUCCUCCUCAUCGCGCUUGUGGUGGUGGCGGAAGCCAACAUCGCUGCUGGCAAUGACACUAUUUAUCGUGUCCCUGUGCAACAAUCAGCUCUUGUAUCUUAUUGAAAAGGAUUUAAUCUAGAUAUUUGGUCACGUUCCUGGGUUUUCUGCAACCCUUCCGUCUGUGAUUGCCAGACUCCAUGCUGCCAAGGACAAUUCUGUUCAUGGCAAUCACAGACUUGUCCAUGUGCAGUUUUACUUACAAGUUUGGGAUGGUGAUCGAUAUUCAUGAGUCCAUCAUGUUCUGCCUUUAGUAGAAGAGGAUAAUAUUCUUUGUGCUAUUUGUUACUGCAGAUUGUUACUUUGUUGCGUGA